rnacentral:rRNA from 1 species
UUGAACGCUGGCGGCAUGCCUUACACACUGCAAGUCGAACGGUAACAGGUCUUCGGACGCUGACGAGUGGCGAACGGGUGAGUAAUACAUCGGAACGUGCCCAAUCGUGGGGGAUAACACAUCGAAAGAUGUGCUAAUACCGCAUACGAUCUACGGAUGAAAGCGGGGGACCUUAGGGCCUCGCGCGAAUGGAGCGGCCGAUGGCAGAUUAGGUAGUUGGUAGGGUAAAAGCCUACCAAGGCGACGAUCCGUAGCUGGUCUGAGAGGAUGAUCAGCCACAUCGGGACUGAGACACGGCCCGAACUCCUACGGGAGGCAGCAGUGGGGAAUAUUGGACAAUGGGGGCAACCCUGAUCCAGCCAUGCCGCGUGUGUGAAGAAGGCCCUCGGGUUGUAAAGCACUUUCAGUGAGGAAGAACGCCUGGCGGUUAAUACCCGCCAGGAAAGACAUCACUCACAGAAGAAGCACCGGCUAACUCCGUGCCAGCAGCCGCGGUAAUACGGAGGGUGCAAGCGUUAAUCGGAAUUACUGGGCGUAAAGCGCGCGUAGGUGGCUUGAUAAGCCGGUUGUGAAAGCCCCGGGCUCAACCUGGGAACGGCAUCCGGAACUGUCAGGCUAGAGUGCAGGAGAGGAAGGUAGAAUUCCCGGUGUAGCGGUGAAAUGCGUAGAGAUCGGGAGGAAUACCAGUGGCGAAGGCGGCCUUCUGGACUGACACUGACACUGAGGUGCGAAAGCGUGGGUAGCAAACAGGAUUAGAUACCCUGGUAGUCCACGCCGUAAACGAUGUCGACUAGCCGUUGGGCUCCUUGAGAGCCUUGUGGCGGAGUUAACGCAUUAAGUCGACCGCCUGGGGAGUACGGCCGCAAGGUUAAAACUCAAAUGAAUUGACGGGGGCCCGCACAAGCGGUGGAGCAUGUGGUUUAAUUCGAUGCAACGCGAAGAACCUUACCUACCCUUGACAUCCUGCGAAUCGGGUAGAGAUACCUGAGUGCCUUCGGGAGCGCAGAGACAGGUGCUGCAUGGCUGUCGUCAGCUCGUGUUGUGAAAUGUUGGGUUAAGUCCCGUAACGAGCGCAACCCUUGUCCUUAUUUGCCAGCGAUUCGGUCGGGAACUCUAAGGAGACUGCCGGUGACAAACCGGAGGAAGGUGGGGACGACGUCAAGUCAUCAUGGCCCUUACGGGUAGGGCUACACACGUGCUACAAUGGCCGGUACAAAGGGCGGCGAGCUCGCGAGAGUCAGCAAAUCCCUUAAAGCCGGUCUCAGUCCGGAUCGGAGUCUGCAACUCGACUCCGUGAAGUCGGAAUCGCUAGUAAUCGUGGAUCAGAAUGCCACGGUGAAUACGUUCCCGGGCCUUGUACACACCGCCCGUCACACCAUGGGAGUGGCCUGCACCAGAAGUGGUUAGCCUAACGCAAGAGGGCGAUCACCACGGUGUGGUUCAUGACUGGGGUGA